rnacentral:rRNA from 1 species
UACGUAGGAGGCGAGCGUUGUCCGGAAUUACUGGGCGUAAAGAGCGCGUAGGCGGCGCGGUACGACUUGUGUGAAAUCCCCGGGCUCAACCUGGGAACUGCAUUUGUGACUGCAUAGCUUGAGUGCGGCAGAGGGGGAUGGAAUUCCGCGUGUAGCAGUGAAAUGCGUAGAUAUGCGGAGGAACACCGAUGGCGAAGGCAAUCCCCUGGGCCUGCACUGACGCUCAUGCACGAAAGCGUGGGGAGCAAACAGG